CCUACGGGAGGCAGCAGUGAGGAAUAUUGGUCAAUGGGCGGAAGCCUGAACCAGCCAAGUCGCGUGAGGGAAUAAGGCCCUACGGGUCGUAAACCUCUUUUGCCGGGGAGCAAGGGCGGGGACGUGUCCCGGCCCGGAGAGUACCCGGAGAAAAAGCAUCGGCUAACUCCGUGCCAGCAGCCGCGGUAAUACGGAGGAUGCGACGGUUUUCCGGAUUUAUUGGGUUUAAGGGGUGGGUAGGCGGGCGUUUAGUUCAGCGGGAAAAAGUCGGGCCUCAACCCCGUCCGGCCGUUGAAAAGGGGGGCCUUGAGUGGGCGGGAAGAAGGCGGAAUGCGUGGUGUAGCGGUGAAAUGCAUAGAUAUCACGCAGAACCCCGAUUGCGAAGGCAGCCUUCCGGCGCCCUACUGACGCUGAGGCACGAAAGUGCGGGGAUCGAACAGGAUUAGAUACCCCUGUAGUC
rnacentral:rRNA from 1 species